CGUAUAUGAGCCUCAGUUCUAAGACCUCUGGAUCCAAGCUGUCAUCAACCGUGAAAGUCAGACAUAGAAGUUGCCAGUGACUUUGGAGCCUCCCAAAGGAAGGGACCCAAGUAGGGGAGGUCCUGGGGUGGCAGAGUUUUGAGAAGUUAUGUGGCAGAGAGCCUGUGCAUGAGGGAGAAAGGGUGAUGUAAAGGGUUAACCUCUGAAACCAGAGGCAUGGAUGAAGGCUGAGCCUCUCUUGCAGCCUAGGAACUUGAGAAAUGAGUUAUGGACAGUUCAGUUUGCCAUAGUGCUGCAUUCAGGAGCUUCUGUCCAAGACACAAAGCCUGGCUGGCCUGUCAUUUCUUAAUAAUCCAGCAAGCUUCCAGGACUGACUUCAUCCUUCUGUCCAUUCAAUCAUCCAUCCAUCCACUUACCCAUCCAUCUAUCCAAAGGGGCACAAGGACACUUUUAGGGCUGAUGGAUGUGUUCACUGUCUUGACUGCUAUGAUGGUUUUAUGGGUGUGUACAUGUGUUAGAACUGGUAAAGUGGUAUACUUUAAAUGUGUGCAUGUGAGUGUACCUUAAUUAUAUUUCAAUAAAGUUGGAAAAAAGGAAGGUAAAUAACAGUAGGUCAAAACUGAUAACACCCCACAUUAUCCAUGGACAAGACAAUGGAUAAGCUGUGGAAUAUCCAUACAAUGGAAUACUGCUCAGCAGUAGAAAGGAACAAAUUGCUCAAAUAUACGACAACAUGGACCAUCUCACACAUGAAUGCUGAUCAAAAGACGUCAGAUGCGACAAUCAUUCUGUACAGUUCCAUUUAUAUACACUUCAAAAACAGAGAAAACAGGCCUGGCAUGGUGGCUUAUGCCUAUAAUUCUAGCACUUUGGGAGGCCAAGGCAGGUGGAUCACCCGAGGUCAGGAGUUCAAGGCCAGCCUGACCAACAUGGUGAAACUCUGUCUCUACUAAAAAUACAAAAAUUAGCUGGGUGUGGUGGCGCACGCCUGUAAUCCCAGCUACUCAGGAGGCUGAGGCAAGAGAAUUGCUUGAACCUGGGAGGCAGAGGUUGCAGUGAGCCGAGAUCACGCCAUUGCACUCCAGUCUGGGCAACAAGAGCAAAACUCCAGCUCAAAACAAACAAACAAACCAGAGAAAACAGAGCUAUGGUGUUUAUGAGUAUGUGCUCAGGUGGUAAAACUAUAAAGAAAAACAAGAACACAAUGAUCAUUAAGUCCUCCCUAGGGAAGGAGGAAGGGGUGGUCUCUGGGAGGGAAGAUGAUGGGGCUUCUGGGGAGCUGGCAGAUUUCUUGACCUGGGUGGUUACGUGGAUGUGUGCUUGAUAAUAAACCAUUGAGCUGUACGUUUUGUUUUGUGUGCAUUUCUGAAUAUAUUUUACAUUGUGUAAUUUAAAAUGGAGCAACAUAUAUAUACAUGCUUGUAUGGAAAGGUACAAAAAAGGAAAAUUUUAACAGUUUUUCUUUCCUCUGAGGAGAGAGGCUAUGAACUAGUGGGG
rnacentral:lncRNA from 1 species